rnacentral:lncRNA from 1 species
GAGAUAUUACAAAUUACUUCAAAACCUUACUAAUAACAUUAAUUGGUAGAAUACGAGUUUAAACAAAUCUUUGAAUUAAAUAAAGUAUUAUUAAUUAUACAAAAUAAUUAAGACUAGAGGACUCUACAUAUAUAAAACCCCCUUUUCCCGUAUCACAAUCAGAGCGGAGCUUCAUCAAUACUCGAACACACGACCUGAGAACCUGGACCCCCAAAGGUCCAGCACAUACACAAAACAGAGAGUUAGCAAAAUAUCCGACUAAGUGCAAGUAACUCGAUUACUANNNNNNNNNNNNNNNNNNNNNNNNNNNNNNNNNNNNNNNNNCAUUCCUUUUUGGAUAAACUUAUAUCCCUCUGCAUCUCUCAUUUGCUUACCAAAGCGGUUAUGCAUUUGACCAAUUACAUUGGAUUUCCAACCUUACCAAAGGCCAAUCAUACAACAUGAGUGCAUGAAAUAUUCACAUAUCAAUUAUAUGAUAUUUACAUCUACACAUAUACUAAUAUGUAUGUACACUAUCAUAUCAAUCAUAAUUACUAUUCCAAUUAACUAUCAACUCCAUGAUCAAUUAACAAUUCAUAUUAUGAUUCAAUCACAAACAUCAUUGUCACACAUAAUGCAUUUAUUCCAUCAAUCNNNNNNNNNNNNNNNNNNNNNNNNNNNNNNNNAAUUAUCAUUGAAUAGAAUACUAGCAUAUAUUCCUAAUUAUUCAAUCAUUUGAAUUCACAAAACUCAUUUUAUUUCCAAAUAAUGUUUCUAACAUAAGAAAUUAUUAACAAGCAAUCAUUAUUCCAGAAAAACUAACUUCAGAUUCGGAAUCUACACAAAAAACUGUGAAAAAUAGGUUCGGGGUGCAUGAACCAUCGGAAAGUCAACACUCAGUCAACAAUCAACGCAGUCUGGUCAAAGUCAAGGGUCAACAGUCAAACUGUCAAACCAACAGUUGCGUCGGUCAUAGUGUCGAUAUAUUUCGACGCAAAUGCAGUUCAUACUGCAUAAUUAUUAUGCAGAAAAAUUAGCGACGCCAUAGCGUCCAACUAUUCGACGCAAAUACUAUAUUGCAGAUUUUCAUAAAAACGGGUUUUGAAGGUGGGUUUGAUCCAAAAGUGCUUAGAUUAAUCACUUAUCUUCAAGUUAUUAGAUUUUAUCAUAAAUCUCAAAACCCACCAUUUUUGCAAAGCUUGAGCAAUCAAUCAAAAGCAAUGACAUCAUAUAUGCAUCAACAAGGAAUAUAAACACAUUCCUAAUUCCCAAAUUAACCACAACCCAUAGAGAUGAAAGAGUUUGGGUAUGGAAAAGAAAGGUUUUUCUCUCCUCUUUAUGAACCAUCUCAAAAUGAAUAAAUUAAUACUCUCAUACCUUAUUGAUGUUGGAUUCUCUAGUCCUUCAUCUCCUAGCUCUUCUUCAAUCUUUCCCUCUACUUAGCUUUCCUCUUCAUUCUUUCUCUUCUUUUCUCUAACUUUCUCUUUAUCUUUCUUUCUUGAGAGCUUCUCUCUCUACCUCCAUCAAAAUCAUAAUUUAUGAUAACCUCUCUCUAACUUGGUCCUUAUAUAGUUAGGUUUACCACCUUCUUCUUUUACCAAAAUACCCCUCUACUAAAUGGGCCUAAAACAUAUUCUAACACAUCGCUUCCC